UGAGUUCCUUGGCAAAUGAAGAUGGCACAC
rnacentral:piRNA from 1 species